AUGAGAAACAAAAGGAUGAAUUGUUGGUGCCAAGAAGAGUGUGUGAUGCGUACUGUUACAGAUCUGAAUAGUGUCAAUGUUGGGGAAAAAUUUUGGGGCUGUAGAAAUUACAAGAAUCAAUUGGAGAAGGGAUGCAAUUUUUUCAAGUGGGUAGGUGAUGAAGUUGUUGAUGGAAGGAAUUUGAAGAUUGAAAGGCAAAGGAAGAAAAUUUUGAAGUUGAAUAAUGAGGUGCUAAGCACAAGAGGACUGUUGAAGAAUGCAAUAGUGUUAACCAUAAUUAGUCUAGGGCUUAAUUUAGUCUUUGUAACCCUGUAUUUGAAAUAG